rnacentral:RNase_P_RNA from 1 species
GGAGUGGGGCAGGCGAACGCGUUCCGUCCCGCAAAAUCGGGAGGGAGCGAGGAAAGUCCGAACUCCAAAGGGCAGGACGCCCCAUAACAUGGGGAAGGCGUGAGCCUAUGGAAAGUGCCACAGAAAAUAAACCGUCCGCCUCAGGUGGAUAAGGGUGAAAAGGUGGGGUAAGAGCCCACCGGUUUGCUGGUAACAGUAAACGCACGGUAAACCCCGUCCGGAGCAAGACCAAAUAGGAGAGAAGAAGUGGCCCGCUUCGUUAGACUCUUGGGUAGGUCGCAUGAGCCCGGCAGCAAUGUCGGGCCUAGAUAGAUGUUCGCCCUCGACAGAAUUCGGCUUACAACCACUCUGAUG